rnacentral:rRNA from 1 species
CCUCCUGUCGCAUGGUGGGGGGUGGAAAGGGUUUGUACUGGUUGUGGAUGGGCUCACGGCCUAUCAGCUUGUUGGUGGGGUAAUGGCCUACCAAGGCGACGACGGGUAGCCGGCCUGAGAGGGUGACCGGCCACACUGGGACUGAGACACGGCCCAGACUCCUACGGGAGGCAGCAGUGGGGAAUAUUGCACAAUGGGCGCAAGCCUGAUGCAGCGACGCCGCGUGAGGGAUGACGGCCUUCGGGUUGUAAACCUCUUUCAGCACGGAAGAAGCGAAAGUGACGGUACGUGCAGAAGAAGCGCCGGCUAACUACGUGCCAGCAGCCGCGGUAAUACGUAGGGCGCAAGCGUUGUCCGGAAUUAUUGGGCGUAAAGAGCUCGUAGGCGGUUUGUCGCGUCUGCUGUGAAAGCCCGGGGCUUAACCCCGGGUGUGCAGUGGGUACGGGCAGACUUGAGUGCAGUAGGGGAGACUGGAACUCCUGGUGUAGCGGUGAAAUGCGCAGAUAUCAGGAAGAACACCGAUGGCGAAGGCAGGUCUCUGGGCUGUUACUGACGCUGAGGAGCGAAAGCAUGGGGAGCGAACAGGAUUAGAUACCCUGGUAGUCCAUGCCGUAAA